rnacentral:tRNA from 1 species
UGGGGGAUCGUCUAAAGGCAGGACGGCAGACUCUGAAUCUGCCUAUCUAGGUUCGAAUCCUAGUCCCCCAG